CUGACUACUCCACCCUUCCCAGCGGUUAUCGGCAGCAAACACAGAUGUGGAUUAAUAUGUAGGGAAACAAGAAAAAUCUCAAAUAAACAACCUAAACCUACACCUAAAGCAACUAAGGAAAGAAGAACAAACAAAACCCAAAGUUAGUAGAAGCCUUCUCAUCACCUUUGAGCAUAUUUUUUAUGAUCUUCAACACAUUUUCAACAAGUGCUUAUCCUGCGCCAGAUCUUGGGAAUGGUUAACAAACGCCUGCUGUGUCAUGUAUGCUGUGUCACAGCACAAAUGUAUGCUGUGUCAUGGGAAUCGUGUCCCUCUGAGGCCGGUAUUAUUCCCUCCGUUUUACUGACAGGGAAAUGAGGUUCAGAGAGGUUAGCUAAAUAGCAUAAGUUUACACUGUACAUCAGGAUGUUGGCAUUUGAACUCAGUUCUGCUUUACUCAAAGCCAUGGUCAAUUCCACUCUGGGAUCUGGCAUCUCAGUUUGAGCCCUCAGAGACUCAAUUCAUGUACCAUUCUUUCAGCACGUCAUCCCUUCCACACCUUGGGUUACUGGUUCUUCUUAGAAUCAUACCUUGUCUCCCUCCCUUUCCUAACCUACCAUGACUACAAGCUUCUCACUGACCCAAAUCACCAUCGGGGGCUUCCCUGGUGGCGCAGUGGUUGAGAGUCCGCCUGCCGAUGCAGGGGACACGGGUUCGUGCCCCGGUCCGGGAAGAUCCCACAUGCCGCGGAGCGGCUGGGCCCGUGAGCCAUGGCCGCUGAGCCUGCGCGUCCGGAGCCUGUGCUCCACAACGGGAGAGGCCGCAACAGCGAGAGACCCGCGUACCGCAAAAAAAAGAAAAAAAAAAAAAAUCACCAUCGGUUCAGAAAGUACUUUGAUUCAGUGCCGCUUACAUCCCUGGUCUGCGAACUGCUUGUGACGGGUCCACAAAGAUAAGGCACUUGGGCCAGAAUGUAAAUCAACGAUGUCACUAGGCACACUUUUUAGUUCAACUGACACUUUCAAAAAUUUUUCCUAAAGCAAGACUUUCUUGAAGUAAGAACUGCCUUGGGUUUACUUUCUGGCACUAGUUCCUUAUCUCAUAGCAGAUCAGUAAAAACGGUGGGAAGAUGGACGUUGAUCCAGAAGUUGGCCCUGGUCCAAGGACAACAGUUUGAGUAAUGCUGCUUAGGUUAAGAUCACGUCUCCUUUUCCCUCGCCGCUGUCAACUUUGGAUUAUUGCAACAGUGCCAGGUGGUCUCCUGUUGUUUCCAAAUCUGUUUGUGACACUUGCCUACUUAAAACCCUUCAGUGGUUCCCACCGUCUCCUGAUAAAGUCCGAACUUCACUCCAAAGGUUCUUUGUGACCUGCCUCGGAGUGCCCUCACCAGGUUUCUCUCUCUCUCUCCCUUGCUCCCUGGACUCUUGCUUUACUGGAUGGUCUGUAGUUCCCCAAGAUGGGCCGUGUGCUUACCUCACAAUUUUGUCAAUGUUGCUCUGUCUGCCCCUGUUGCCCUCCCUUCCCUUCUUUCCCCUGUCACCCAGGCACAUGUGUGACAAUAGCCACAAGGAACUUCAAAGAGAAUGUGGGAAUAGGGGUGGUAUUGGAGAGAUUUUGUUUCAACUUUAAGAUUUGAAUAGGUGGAGAGGGACAGGGAAGGCAGGCAAUGCUGGGCAUAUGCAGGCUGGAUUAAGGAGACAUUCUAGAAUGCUGUCGUCAAACAGAAGGUGAUAAUUGCCUGAGAGUUGGGCAAGGAAAUUUAGGAAAUGGAGCAGAGAUAGGGCCUCCAGAAAAACUAGAUCCUCACUGUGGAUACCUCACAGGAAGAGGGAUUAGAUUUUGUAAAAAGGUAAUGCUACGUGGUGAACAAAGACAGUUCCUACAGAGAAACUCCCCUGGGGUGCUGUGAAAGUGGCCAAACAGCUCAGAAGGAGGACUUCUCAUCUUUGGCUGUCAAAGUACUCAUAACUCUGAAAGGCCUUAAAGCAAGGAAUGGCUACUGGCAGCCAGAGGAAUGGUGAUGUGCUUGGCCAGCUGGUAGAGGAAGCAGUUAGACUGUACACAGUCCCUCCUCCCACACACCCGGAAGGUGGCAGCUGUGGAUGGAGGAUUCAGGGGCUGAAGAGACCUGGCUUCUCUCCCUCAGCCAGGGCACACAGGGCAGGCAGGGCAGGCAAGGGCCACAGUUUCUCCCUGGCCUCUCUUAGCCUCUGAUAAGCAAAACCUUCAUUGGGAGGAGAUCAUUCCCCCUUUUCACUGACUCUGAGUGAAAUGUGUGUCCUGUUCCCACUUCCAGGAGGCUAAGAUUUAUGAAAAUCUGCAAAUUGCUUCCUUUAAGAAAACGUUAUAUAAAAGGAUUAGCUUCGUAGCAGGUGUUUUAGUCUGAUGCUGGUUCUAGAAAGACAUGAAUAGGAGUUUGCCCAUUUUAUGUUAUCCAAACGCUCCUUAAAGAUUAACCGUAUGCUAACACAUAUAUAUGGAAUUUAAGAAAAAAAAAUGUCAUGAAGAACCUAGGGGUAAGACAGGAAUAAAGACACAGACCUACUAGAGAAUGGA